CCCUUAGAUGUCCUGGGCCGCACGCGCGCUACACUGAGUGUCUGAGAUACGAGUCUGCCUGGUCCGGCAAGGUCUAGGUAAUCGCUAAAAGACACAUCAUGCUUGGGAUAGAUUAUUGCAAAUAUUAAUCUUGAACGAGGAAUUCCUAGUAAGCGCAAGUCAACAGCUUGCGUUGAUUACGUCCCUGCCCUUUGUACACACCGCCCGUCGCUACUACUGAUUGGAUGUUUAAGCGAGGUUCUCGAACUGCUAGCGACUUAGCUUCUGUGAGGUCGCAGUGUGGGAAGUGAACCUAGCUUUGGUGUCUAGAGGAAGUAAAAGUCGUAACA
rnacentral:rRNA from 1 species